GACGAACGCUGGCGGCGUGCUUAACACAUGCAAGUCGAGCGGUAAGGCCCUUUCGGGGGUACGACGAGCGGCGAACGGGUGAGUAACACGUGGGUGACCUGCCCUCCAGCUCUGGGAUAAGCCUGGGAAACCGGGUCUAAUACCGGAUAUGACUCCAUGACGCAUGUUGUGGGGUGGAAAGCCUUGUGCGGCUGAGGAUGGGCCCGCGGCCUAUCAGCUUGUUGGUGGGGGGAUGGCCUACCAAGGCG
rnacentral:rRNA from 1 species